UGAAAGCGAGACAGGUAAGUACCAUCCUCGUGCAUUAACAACGGACCCGCAAGAUUCGGGCGUAUGGAGCAGUAGGACUGAUACGCAGAGGCUGGGCAAACAGACGAAUUAGGGAUGGUGCGAAGGGUAACCCAGCGACCUUUCCCAACAACGUCAGUUUUUGACCGUCGUAUCAAGAAACGCACCGCACCAUCCAAGAGGAACACAUCGUGAAAUAACAAGCCCCCCGGAGUCCCCUUGCUCGGGCUGAUUAGUUCCCCAAUCCGGAGGGCCCCAAAAAAGACAAAAAUGAAGGCCAAACGAAAUAAACUAGCUUCAUAAGCGGAAUAACAUAUCUGCG